CCUCAUAGCUCAGUCGGUAAAGAAUCUGCCUGCAAUGCAGGAGACCUGGGUUCGAUUCCUGGGUUGAGAA
rnacentral:tRNA from 1 species